UCUCGUAGUGACCUGCGGAGGGAUCAUUACCGAGUUCAUGCCCUUACGGGUAGACCUCCCACCCUAUGUUAUAUUACCUUUGUUGCUUUGGCGGGCCGCCCGGCUUCGGCCAGGCUACCGGCUCCAGCUGGUAAGCGCUCGCCAGAGGACCCUCAACUCUGAAUAUCAGUGUCGUCCGAGUACUAUAAAAUAGUUAAAACUUUCAACAACGGAUCUCUUGGUUCUGGCAUCGAUGAAGAACGCAGCGAAAUGCGAUAAGUAAUGUGAAUUGCAGAAUUCAGUGAAUCAUCGAAUCUUUGAACGCACAUUGCGCCCCUUGGUAUUCCGAGGGGCAUGCCUGUUCGAGCGUCAUUACAACCCUCAAGCACUGCUUGGUAUUGGGCUCCGCUGGCUCCAGCGGGCCUUAAAAUCAGUGGCGGCGCCGUUUGGGCUCUGAGCGUAGUAAAUAUCCUCGCUAUAGAGACCAGGCGGUUCUUGUCAUCAACCCCCAACUUUCUAAGUUUGACCUCGGAUCAGGUAGGGAUACCCGCUGAACUUAAGCAUAUCAU
rnacentral:rRNA from 1 species